GAGGGCUACAAGUAAGCCGCUGUUCAAAGAGCCUACUAGGGAUGAAAUGGAGCAGUACUCUGAAUUGGAAAAGAUGGAAGCAGAUUCAGGUGUAUCAUGUGCUGUAGAUGACCUUCCUGCUGAAACUCUCUGAUGGAGAGUGGGAGACAUGGCAUGGAGUCAUCAAUGAUGGGUGAAGUUUAGGAGCUGCACUCUCCUUUUGUUUAUAUUUUAUUUGCUUAAAAAGACACUUGCUGAUGGGACUUUGGCAUGUAACUAAGUACUUAAGUAGUGAUGAUGGAAUCGAACUUUGUUCUGUUUCAAGUUUGGGACUUUGGAGUUUGGAAUGUAACUAAGUAGUGGUGAUGGACUGAUGGAGUGAGAUACAAGUCCGUGUUGAUCUUUUGAA